GAUCAUGGCUCAGGAUGAACGCUAGCUACAGGCUUAACACAUGCAAGUCGAGGGGCAGCAUGGUCUUAGCUUGCUAAGGCCGAUGGCGACCGGCGCACGGGUGAGUAACGCGUAUCCAACCUGCCCAUCACUUGGGAAUAACCUUGCGAAAGUAAGACUAAUACCCAAUGAUAUCCCACGAAGGCAUCCGAAUGGGAUUAGAGAUUUAUCGGUGAUGGAUGGGGAUGCG
rnacentral:rRNA from 1 species